rnacentral:rRNA from 1 species
CUACGGGCGGCAGCAGUGGGGAAUAUUGGACAAUGGGGGAAACCCUGAUCCAGCAAUGCCGCGUGUGUGAAGAAGGCCCGCGGGUUGUAAAGCACUUUCGGUUGGGAGGACUGCUUCUAGCACUAAUAUUGUUGGAAGUUGACGUUACCUUCAGAAGAAGCACCGGCUAACUCCGUGCCAGCAGCCGCGGUAAUACGGAGGGUGGCAAGCGUUAAUCGGAAUUACUGGGCGUAAAGCGCGCGUAGGCGGCUAGAUCAGUCGGGUGUGAAAGCCCCGGGCUUAACCUGGGAACUGCAUCCGAUACUGUCGAGCUUGAGUACAGGAGAGGAGAGUGGAAUUCCACAUGUAGCGGUGAAAUGCGUAGAUAUGUGGAGGAACACCAAUGGCGAAGGCAGCUCUCUGGCCUGAUACUGACGCUGAGGUGCGAAAGCGUGGGGAGCAAACAGGAUUAGAUACCCUAGUAGUC